rnacentral:rRNA from 1 species
AGGGCGUACGGUGAAUGCCUUGGUGCCAACAGGCGAAGAAGGACGCGGCAAGCUGCGAAAAGCCUCGGGAAGCUGCAAGCAAGCGAUGAUCCGGGGAUAUCCGAAUGGGGUAACCUGAUCGAGGCAAUACUCGAUCGUUCAUACCUGAAUACAUAGGGUAUGAAACGCGAAACCCGCUGAAGUGAAACAUCUCAGUAAGCGGAGGAAAAGAAAGAGAAAUCGAUUCCGUAAGUAGUGGCGAGCGAAAGCGGAUGGAGCCCAAACCGAAGGUAUUCCUUCGGGGUUGUAGGACCACGACCUAUUCGACCAUACUGGAUAGUAGAACAGCCUGGAAAGGCUGGCCGUAGAAGGUGAAAGCCCUGUAGACGAAAUCCAGAGUGGGAAUUAGUGGUAUCCUGAGUAAUACAUCACACGUGGAACGAUGUAUGAAACCGCGCGGACCACCGCGCAAGGCUAAAUACUAGUUGGCGACCGAUAGUGAACAAGUACCGCGAGGGAAAGGUGAAAAGAACCGCUGUGAGCGGAGUGAAAUAGAACCUGAAACCGUAUGUCUACAAAGUGUCAGAGCAGAGCAGUCUGCGAUGGCGUGCCUUUUGUUUAAUGAGUCUGCGAGUCAGUGUUUGUGGCAAGACUAAGGGCUUCCGGCCCGGAGUCGCAGCGAAAGCAAGUCCGAACAGGGCGCAAUAAGUCGCAGGUACUGGACCCGAAGCGGAGGUGACCUACCCUUGGCCAGGUUGAAGCAUGGGUAAAACCAUGUGGAGGACCGAACAGGUGAACGUUGAAAAGUUCUCUGAUGAGCUGAGGGUAGGAGUGAAAGGCUAAUCAAACCCCGUGAUAGCUGGUUCUCUUCGAAAUGCAUUUAGGUGCAGCGUCACGUGCUGAUGCGCGGGGGUAGAGCACUGACAAGGCUAGGGGGCACACCCGCUUACCAAACCUUAUCAAACUCCGAAUACCGUGCAAUGGAACGUGGCAGUGAGACAGUGGGGGAUAAGCUUCAUUGUCGAGAGGGAAACAACCCAGACCAGCAGCUAAGGUGCCUAAAUAACGCUCAGUGGAAAGGAUGUGGGAUUACACAGACAGUGAGGAUGUUGGCUUAGAAGCAGCCACCAUUUAAAAAAUGCGUAAUAGCUUACUCAUCGAGUGAUCCUGCGCCGAAAAUGAUUGGCGAUCAAGCGUUAUACCGAAGCUCUGGACUUUGCCGCAAGGCAGAGUGGUAGAAGAGCGUUGCAUGCGCGUCGAAGGGUGAUGGCGACUGACCCUGGAGCACAUGCAAGUGAGUAUGCAGACAUGAGUAACGUUAAGCCGGGUGAAAUCCCCGGCCGCCGUAAACCCGAGGUUUCCAGGGCAACGUGUUUCGUCCCUGGGUUAGCCGGGACCUAAGCCGAGGCCGAGAGGCGUAGGCGAUGGACAUCAGGUUAAUAAUCCUGAGCUCGCGGCCCUUAAACUGGGGGGACGCAUGAGAAAAGAUGACUAGGUUAUUGAAUUCCGAGUUGAGUCUACGGACUCAGCGCAUCAUUGGAUCGAGUGCCAAGAAAAGCCCCAGCGUAUGCUAAGCGACCCGUACCGCAAACCGACACAGGUGGGUGGGUAGAAUAUACCAAGGCGUAAGAGUGAAACCUGGUUAAGGAACUCGGCAAAUUAGCCCCGUAACUUCGGAAGAAGGGGUGCCUGCAGCGAUGCAGGCCGCAGAGAAAUGGCCCAACCGACUGUUUAUCAAAAACACAGCACUCUGCAAAGACGCAAGUCGAAGUAUAGGGUGUGACACGUGACCAAUGCCGAAAGAUUAAGGCAAGGGGUUAGCCGCAAGGCGAAGCUCUGAACCCAAGUCCCGGUGAAUGUCGGCCGUAACUAUAACGGUCCUAAGGUAGCGAAAUUCCUUGUCGGGUAAGUUCCGACCUGCACGAAUCGUGAAACGAGUUGGGCACUGUCUCAACCAGGCGCUCAGUGAAAUUGUAGUGGCGGUGAAGAUGCCGCCUACCCGCAGAAGGACGGAAAGACCCUAUAGACCUUAACUGUAAGCUGUCAUUGUUUCUUCGGUUUUAAUGCUCAGAGUAAGUGGGAGACGCUGAAGACGCCCUUUAGGGGGCGUCCGAGUCAUCAAUGAGACACCACCCUUUGAAACUGGAGGAUCUAACCCUGAGCCGUGAAUCCGGCCAGAGGACCGUGUCAGCCGGUCAGUUUUACUGGGGCGGUAUCCUCCCAAAGAGUAACGGAGGAGCGCGAAGGUGGGCUCAGCCCGGUUGGCAACCGGGUGUCGAGUGCAUGGGCAUAAGCCCGCCUAACUGUGAGACCAACAAGUCGAGCAGAUGCGAAAGCAGGCCCAAGUGAUCCGGCGGUAGAAAGUGGAAUUGCCGUCGCUCAACGGAUAAAAGGUACCUUAGGGAUAACAGGCUGAUCACGCCCAAGAGUUCAUAUCGACGGCGUGGUUUGGCACCUCGAUGUCGGCUCGUCGCAUCCUGGGGCUGGAGAAGGUCCCAAGGGUCCGGCUGUUCGCCGGUUAAAGCGGCACGCGAGCUGGGUUCAGAACGUCGCGAGACAGUUCGGUCCUCUAUCCUCUGUGGGCGUUGGAAAAUUGAGGGGUUCAGACCUUAGUACGAGAGGACCGGGUCUGACGCACCACUGGUGCAUCGGUUGUACUGUCAAGUGCAUGGCCGAGUAGCUAAGUGCGGACGGGAUAAGCGCUGAAAGCAUCUAAGCGCCAAGCCCUUCCCAAGAUGAGUUUUCCCUACAGGUUCGUGGAAGACCACCACGUUGAUAGGUCGCAGGUGUAAGUGCAGCAAUGUAUUGAGCCAAGCGAUACUAAUUACCAAUUGACUUCAUC